rnacentral:rRNA from 1 species
GAUUUCUGGUUAGUCACCCUGGCCCGCUGGUUUCGAUCAGUGAGUGCUGGUGUGUACUUGCCAUCCUUCUGGACCGCCAUGCGUACCGUUUAUUCGGCCGCGCGUGUGCAAUCCAGAUCUUUUACUUUGAAAAAAUUAGAGUGUUUAAAGCAGGCUUUUUGCUAUGAAUACAUUAGCAUGGAAUAAUAAUUUAGGACUUUGGCCCUAUUUUGUUGGUUUCUAGGACUGAAGUAAUGAUUGAUAGGGAUAGUUGGGGGUGCUCGAAUUCAGCGGCCAGAGGUGAAAUUCUUGGAUUCGCUGAAGACGAACUCAUGCGAAAGCAUU